UACGUAGGGGGCGAGCGUUGUCCGGAAUUAUUGGGCGUAAAGGGCUCGUAGGCGGUCUGUUGCGUCGGGUGUGAAAACUCAGGGCUUAACCCUGAGCCUGCUUCCGAUACGGGCAGACUAGAGGUAUGCAGGGGAGAACGGAAUUCCUGGUGUAGCGGUGAAAUGCGCAGAUAUCAGGAGGAACACCGGUGGCGAAGGCGGUUCUCUGGGCAUUACCUGACGCUGAGGAGCGAAAGUGUGGGGAGCGAACAGG
rnacentral:rRNA from 1 species